CAUUGGCACUUUAGAUUUUUCUUGGUUUAAUGAUGGUGAUGGUCGAUUGGGUGAUGAUGGUGUAUGAUUAGUGGUGGAUUGUGGAAGAUGACUGUGAAGGGCAAUAUUGGAAAUACGUCUCAAUAUACAUAUUAAUGACAAAAUAAUCUCCAAAUAUUUAAAUUAAAUUCUUUAGCGAACGUGUUCAUAAAUGUGUUAUAACCAGGGUUCCUCUAAUCCCCUCCCACCCACCUAUAAAACAACCCCAUCCAGCCAUCCCUCUUCUCUAUAUUCAUCUGAUCGAUCAUCUUUCUCUCUCUCGAAUAAUGAAUGUUAUGAGCAAUGAAUCCAACACAAAGACUUUUGCAAGGAGGUACUCAAGUUAUGCAUUGACCUAUAAAAGAUGGAAGAAAGCAACUUUCAAGCAUCACCAAUGCCAUGAUAGAGGUGCCACCGUGAUGGUGGUGAAGGAGGUGGUCGCAGUUUUCUAAUGUGAGAUAUGGUGUUAUCCUUACUUGAGCUUUUACCUAAAACUAUAAGAAAAAAAAAUUAAUUUGUUUGUAUUUUUUCUUUUUCAUUUUUCUUGACCUUGUAAGACCUUUUCUUGACCUUGCAAGACUCUCCAACACUGUCAAACUCUUGGCUACUCUCCGUGUCUUGGACCUAAUAUUGUAGCAAAUUGAGGCAGUGUUGUUUCUAAUCUUUCACCGUUCUUUCCCAACUCAUGCCCUCUUUGCUUGUCUAUCCCUCUUGAGCUGUAUUUGUAUACAAUCUAAAGUCUAAACGAUAUCCAUACCAUCCCACUUUUUAUAUUCCAUAAAAAUUUGAUGUAUUAGAACAUUCAAAUAGAUGAAACUUUUGUUUUCGUCGUUACUAAAGAAUAGGUAUGUAGAGAUUUGCACUUAAUAAUCUGUAUAGGUUAUAUAUUUAAGCAAGUUCUUAUGCCAAUAAAUAUAUUGCUUCAGAAUUCGACUCA